GCUAAACGAAUGGCUGUAAGUCAAGGACUACCUGCAGAAGAGGCUGGCAGAGUGCAGAGCAAGGAACCAACCAUAGCAGUUUUAUUUCUAGGAAUGAAUCAGUGACCCACACACAAAUGCCACUGAAAGGAUAGCUAAUAUUCCACGGUGCUACUUCUACAUCCUGUUCAAGACUGUGACUGAUUGUGUCCACCAUGACAGCCAUUUUUGAAAUGGGGAAGCCUCUCAAGAGUCGCCAUUUUGUGAACUCUGAAAAUUCCAGUCAAACCUCUAACUCCAAACAACUACAGAGCCCCAAUCUAGUCUCGUUGCCAUCCUUCUUUCAGCAAAAAUCAGGACAAUGGAUCCAUUUCAUCUGCCUCUAACAACAAUUCUGUGAGCUGGAAUCACAUGACCUAAAUGGGUUUGCUUUUAUGACACAGAAAAAACUCACUAUCCAAAGUGGCUGGCAAGGCAGAGACUUCAUUGCCACGUUGACGGUUUGUCAGGGUACUGGAACGCUUCAGGAUCCCAUCUGCAUUUUGAGAAAUAAAAGAAAGAGAAUCUUCA